rnacentral:rRNA from 1 species
UACGUAGGGGGCAAGCGUUGUCCGGAAUCAUUGGGCGUAAAGAGCGUGUAGGUGGACUGGAAGGUCUGGUGUGAAAGCCCGGGGCUCAACCCCGGAGGGUCACUGGAAACCAACAGUCUUGAGUCCGGAAGAGGAGAGUGGAAUUCCUGGUGUAGCGGUGGAAUGCGCAGAUAUCAGGAGGAACACCAAUGGCGAAGGCAGCUCUCUGGUACGUGACUGACACUGAGACGCGAAAGCGUGGGGAGCGAACAGG